rnacentral:rRNA from 1 species
GUGGGGAAUAUUGGACAAUGGGGGAAACCCUGAUCCAGCCAUGCCGCGUGAGUGAUGAAGGCCUUAGGGUUGUAAAGCUCUUUCGACGGGGACGAUGAUGACGGUACCCGUAGAAGAAGCCCCGGCUAACUUCGUGCCAGCAGCCGCGGUAAUACGAAGGGGGCUAGCGUUGUCCGGAAUUACUGGGCGUAAAGCGCGCGUAGGCGGCUACACAAGUCGGGCGUGAAAGCCCGGGGCUCAACCCCGGAAAUGCGCCCGAGACUGUGUGGCUUGAGACCGGGAGAGGAGAGUGGAAUUCCCAGUGUAGAGGUGAAAUUCGUAGAUAUUGGGAAGAACACCGGUGGCGAAGGCGGCUCUCUGGUCCGGUUCUGACGCUGAGGCGCGAAAGCGUGGGGAGCAAACAGGAUUAGAAACCCUAGUAGUCC